rnacentral:rRNA from 1 species
UCCAGGCCCUACGGGGCGCACCAGGCGCGAAACCUCCGCAAUGCGGGAAACCGCGACGGGGUCAGCCGGAGUGCCGGUGCAUUGCACCGGCUGUCGGGGAGCCUAAACAGCUCCCCAUAGCAAGGGCCGGGCAAGGCCGGUGGCAGCCGCCGCGGUAAUACCGGCGGCCCGAGUGGCGGCCACUAUUAUUGGGCCUAAAGCGUCCGUAGCCGGGCUGGUAAGUCCCCCGGGAAAUCUGGCGGCUUAACCGUCAGAAUUCCGGGGGAUACUGCCAGCCUAGGGACCGGGAGAGGCCGGGGGAAUUCCCGGGGUAGGGGUGAAAUCCUAUAAUCCCGGGAGGACCACCUGUGGCGAAGGCGCCCGGCUGGAACGGGUCCGACGGUGAGGGACGAAGGCCAGGGGAGCGAACCGGAUUAGAUACCCGGGUAGUCCUGGCUGUAAACGAUGCGGGCUAGGUGUCGGGCCAGCCACGAGCUGGCCCGGUGCCGGAGGGAAGCCGUUAAGCCCGCCGCCUGGGGAGUACGGCCGCAAGGCUGAAACUUAAAGGAAUUGGCGGGGGAGCACGACAACGGGUGGAGCCUGCGGUUUAAUUGGAUUCAACGCCGGG